rnacentral:rRNA from 1 species
GAACGAGAAAGUGGAGCAAUCCAUGAGUAAAGUGGCGCACGGGUGAGUAACACGUGACUAACCUACCUUUUAGUGGGGGAUAACCUAGGGAAGCCUGGGCUAAUACCGCAUAACACCUACGAGUCAAAGCAGCAAUGCGCUGAAAGAGGGGGUCGCGGUCGAUUAGUUAGUUGGCAGGGUAAUGGCCUACCAAGACUGUGAUCGAUAUCCGGCCUGAGAGGGCGCACGGACACACUGGAACUGAAACACGGUCCAGACUCCUACGGGAGGCAGCAGUGGGGAAUUUUGCGCAAUGGGGGAAACCCUGACGCAGCAACGCCGCGUGGAGGAUGAAGUCCCUUGGGACGUAAACUCCUUUCGAUCGGGACGAUAAUGACGGUACCGGAAGAAGAAGCCCCGGCUAACUUCGUGCCAGCAGCCGCGGUAAUACGAGGGGGGCAAGCGUUGUUCGGAAUUAUUGGGCGUAAAGGGUGCGUAGGUGGUUCGGCAAGUCUUGUGUGAAAUCUUCAGGCUCAACUUGAAGUCUGCGCAAGAAACUGCCGGGCUUGAGUAUGGGAGAGGUGAGUGGAAUUUCCGGUGUAGCGGUGAAAUGCGUAGAUAUCGGAAGGAACACCUGUGGCGAAAGCGGCUCACUGGACCAUUACAGACACUGAGGCACGAAAGCUAGGGGA